rnacentral:rRNA from 1 species
AUUGAACGCUGGCGGCAGGCCUAACACAUGCAAGUCGAGCGGAUGCAGGGAGCUUGCUCCUGGAUUCAGCGGCGGACGGGUGAGUAAUGCCUAGGAAUCUGCCUGGUAGUGGGGGAUAACGUCCGGAAACGGGCGCUAAUACCGCAUACGUCCUGCGGGAGAAAGUGGGGGAUCUUCGGACCUCACGCUAUCAGAUGAGCCUAGGUCGGAUUAGCUAGUUGGUGGGGUAAAGGCCUACCAAGGCGACGAUCCGUAACUGGUCUGAGAGGAUGAUCAGUCACACUGGAACUGAGACACGGUCCAGACUCCUACGGGAGGCAGCAGUGGGGAAUAUUGGACAAUGGGCGAAAGCCUGAUCCAGCCAUGCCGCGUGUGUGAAGAAGGUCUUCGGAUUGUAAAGCACUUUAAGUUGGGAGGAAGGGCAGUAAGUUAAUACCUUGCUGUUUUGACGUUACCAACAGAAUAAGCACCGGCUAACUUCGUG